rnacentral:rRNA from 1 species
GUGGGCUAAACACGGUUGGACAUCGUGUGGUUAGUGCAAUGGCAUAAGCCCGCUUGACUGCGAGAAUGACAAUUCGAGCAGGUGCGAAAGCAGGUCAUAGUGAUCCGGUGGUUCUGAAUGGAAGGGCCAUCGCUCAACGGAUAAAAGGUACUCCGGGGAUAACAGGCUGAUACCGCCCAAGAGUUCAUAUCGACGGCGGUGUUUGGCACCUCGAUGUCGGCUCAUCACAUCCUGGGGCUGAAGUCGGUCCCAAGGGUAUGGCUGUUCGCCAUUUAAAGUGGUACGCGAGCUGGGUUUAGAACGUCGUGAGACAGUUCGGUCCCUAUCUGCCGUGGGCGUUGGAAAAUUGAAAGGGGCUGCUCCUAGUACGAGAGGACCGGAGUGGACGAACCUCUGGUGUUCGGGUUGUCAUGCCAAUGGCAUUGCCCGGUAGCUAAGUUCGGAAUCGAUAACCGCUGAAAGCAUCUAAGCGGGAAGCGAGCCUUGAGAUGAGUUUUCCCUGGCACUAUAAGUGUCCUAAAGGGUUGUCGUAGACUACGACGUUGAUAGGCAGGGUGUGUAAGUGCUGCGAGGCAUUGAGCUAACCUGUACUAAUUGCCCGUGAGGCUUAACCAUACAACACCC